GAGGCAGCAGUGGGGAAUUUUGGACAAUGGGGGCAACCCUGAUCCAGCCAUUCCGCGUGAGUGAAGAAGGCCUUCGGGUUGUAAAGCUCUUUCGCAAGAGAAGAAAACUUGCUAUCUAAUAAAUAGUAAGUAUGACGGUAUCUUGACAAGAAGCACCGGCUAACUACGUGCCAGCAGCCGCGGUAAUACGUAGGGUGCAAGCGUUAAUCGGAAUUACUGGGCGUAAAGCGUGCGCAGGCAGUUUUAUAAGUCAGAUGUGAAAUCCCCGAGCUCAACUUGGGAACUGCGUUUGAAACUAUAAGACUAGAGUGUGUCAGAGGGGGGUAGAAUUCCAAGUGUAGCAGUGAAACGCGUAGAGAUUUGGAGGAAUACCAAUGGCGAAGGCAGCCCCCUGGGAUAACACUGACGCUCAUGCACGAAAGCGUGGGGAGCAAACAGGAUUAGAUACCCUGGUAGUCCACGCCCUAAACGAUGUCUACUAGUUGUUGGUGGAGUAAAAUCCAUGAGUAACGCAGCUAACGCGUGAAGUAGACCGCCUGGGGAGUACGGUCGCAAGAUUAAAACUCAAAGGAAUUGACGG
rnacentral:rRNA from 1 species